rnacentral:rRNA from 1 species
GACGAACGCUGGCGACGUGCUUAACACAUGCAAGUCGAACGGAAAGGCCCUGCUUUUGUGGGGUGCUCGAGUGGCGAACGGGUGAGUAACACGUGAGUAACCUGUCCUUGACUUUGGGAUAACAUCUGGAGACUGGGGAUAAUAUCCGAUAGGAGAUCUUGCAGCAUGGUGGGGGAUGGAAAGAUUCGGCGGUUGGGGAUAGACUAGCGGCUUACCAGCUUGUUGGUGGAGUAGUGGCGUACAAAGGCUUUGAAGGGUAGCCGGCCUGAGAGGGUGACCGGCCACAUUGGGACUGAGAUACGGCCCAGUCUCCUACGGGAGGCAGCAGUGGAGAAUAUUGCACAAUGGGCGGAAGCCUGAUGCAGCAACGCCGCGUGCGGGAUGACGUCCUUCGAGUUGUAAACCGCUUUCUCCUGUGACGAAGCGUGAGUGACGGUAAUGGGUAAAGAAGCACCGGCUAACUACGUG